rnacentral:rRNA from 1 species
ACGCUCACACCUACGGGAGGCAGCAGUGGGGAAUAUUGCACAAUGGGGGAAACCCUGAUGCAGCGACGCCGCGUGAGCGAAGAAGUAUUUCGGUAUGUAAAGCUCUAUCAGCAGGGAAGAAACUGACGGUACCUGACUAAGAAGCACCGGCUAAAUACGUGCCAACAGCCGCGGUAAUCUGAGCGGGCUGGCAAGGC